CCUACGAGUGGCAGCAGUGGGGAAUAUUGCACAAUGGGGGAAACCCUGAUGCAGCGACGCCGCGUGAGUGAAGAAGGAAUUCGUUACGUAAAGCUCUAUCAGCAGGGAAGAAAAUGACGGUACCUGAGUAAGAAGCCACGGCUAACUACGUGCCAGCAGCCGCGGUAAUACGUAGGUGGCAAGCGUUCUCCGGAAUGACUGGGCGUAAAGGGUGCGUAGGUGGGUUAGUAAGUUGGCUGUGUAAUUCCGGGGCUCAACCUCGGCGCUACCGCCAAAACUAUUAGACUAGAGUGCAGGAGGGGUAAGUGGAAUUCCUGGUGUAGCGGUGGAAGGCGUAGAUAUUAGGCGGAACAUCAGGGGCGAAGGCGACUUACUGGACUGUAACUGACACUGAGGCACGAAAGCGUGGGGAGCAAACAGGAUUAGAUACCCUGGUAGUC
rnacentral:rRNA from 1 species